UGNGGGUGCUACCAUGCANGUCGAGCGAUCUCUUCGGAGAGAGCGGCGGACGGGUGAGUAACGCGUGGGUAACCUGCCCUGUACACACGGAUAACAUACCGAAAGGUAUACUAAUACGGGAUAACAUACGAAAGUCGCAUGGCUUUUGUAUCAAAGCUCCGGCGGUACAGGAUGGACCCGCGUCUGAUUAGCUAGUUGGUAAGGUAAUGGCUUACCAAGGCAACGAUCAGUAGCCGACCUGAGAGGGUGAUCGGCCACACUGGAACUGAGACACGGUCCAGACUCCUACGGGAGGCAGCAGUGGGGAAUAUUGCACAAUGGGCGAAAGCCUGAUGCAGCAACGCCGCGUGAGCGAUGAAGGCCUUCGGGUCGUAAAGCUCUGUCCUCAAGGAAGAUAAUGACGGUACUUGAGGAGGAAGCCCCGGCUAACUACGUGCCAGCAGCCGCGGUAAUACGUAGGGGGCUAGCGUUAUCCGGAAUUACUGGGCGUAAAGGGUGCGUAGGUGGUUUUUUAAGUCAGAAGUGAAAGGCUACGGCUCAACCGUAGUAAGCUUUUGAAACUAGAGAACUUGAGUGCAGGAGAGGAGAGUAGAAUUCCUAGUGUAGCGGUGAAAUGCGUAGAUAUUAGGAGGAAUACCAGUAGCGAAGGCGGCUCUCUGGACUGUAACUGACACUGAGGCACGAAAGCGUGGGGAGCAAACAGGAUUAGAUACCCUGGUAGUCCACGCCGUAAACGAUGAGUACUAGGUGUCGGGGGUACCCCCCUCGGUGCCGCAGCUAACCAUAAGACUCCCCUGAAGCCCC
rnacentral:rRNA from 1 species